rnacentral:rRNA from 1 species
GUCCACGCCGUAAACGAUGGGUACUAGGCGUCGGGGGGAGCGACCCUCUCGGUGCCGUCGCUAACGCAGUAAGUACCCCGCCUGGGGAGUACGGCCGCAAGGCUGAAACUCAAAGGAAUUGACGGGGGCCCGCACAAGCGGUGGAGCAUGUGGUUCAAUUCGAAGCAACGCGAAGAACCUUACCUGGGCUUGACAUGCACGGGAAAGCCGGUGGAAACAUCGGCCCCUCUUCGGAGUCCGUGCACAGGUGCUGCAUGGCUGUCGU